AAUACUAUUGUGGUUUUGAGUAAUACAAAAGAAAAAAAAAUCAAAUCCUUCUAUCUCAAGCAUCAACAUUUUAAUCCACCUCCAGCUUCCACAUUGCAGAGAGAAAAAAAAAAAUCAAAUCCUUCUAAAUAAAGCUACGAUUUUGUAUGAGGAAAACCCAAACAAUUAUAAUCUACCAUAUUUACAUUUUAGCUUUUGUUCUAUAUGAAGUUUAUAUUUUUGUUCUUUUGUUUGGCUAAAGAACAGAAGUUAAAAUGUAAAUGUAAUCCUUUGACGUCGUGCGAUUGCGAUUGAGGAAUACAUCCCAUUCCACACAUACGUGCAAUUGCAAAUAGGGCCCAAAAAAAUCCCGUUUUGCAAAUAGAGAGAGAGAGAGAGAGAGAGAGAGAGAGAGAGAGAGAACCUUGGACUUGUUUGUGGCACCUAAAUGCUGCGAUCUAUGCCUACGCAGAGGAGGGAGAACGUAGGCAGGGGAGGGAAAACAAUUUUAAGGGGUAUUUUCUAGGAGGAAAAGUCUGAAUGCAGGCACAACGCGCACCCAUUGAGCACUGCAGCUGACGUGGAUUAAUAAAACGCCUCGUUUUGGUUUGUAUCCAUCUUCAUUAUAAAUGAAACGCCUCGUUUUGGUUUGUUAUAGAGCGGGAAGUGAGUCUCUUCGUUUUCACUUGGUUUCAGAAUUGAAAUUCUUCCCCCUUUCUAUCGGCUUCACACUUUUCCGAAAGAAACCCACCACACUCAGUAUCGCCGAAGCUGACUGAAGAAUCCCCCCACACUCAUCGCCAAAGCUAACUGACGAAGAAGAUCGAGAAGUUUACAGGUAGUUUUUUUUUUUUUCAUUUCGAUCGCAUUUCUAGUCUGAUGAUAUAUCUUCGAUCUUUUCAAUCUAUUCGAUCUAUUAUAGAUUAUAUAUAUUGUAGUUUUCUGUCUUCAUUUCGAUUGUUGUUGGUCCUGAAAUGUUAUUGCAGACGAGAUUGAUUGUUGGGGAAACCCUAAAUCAGGCUUUUCACAGAUUAAUAGGUCUCAAUCUCUUUCUCUCUUGCUUUAUGUUAUGUUAUUCGAUCGUUUCUAUCGGCUUUCCAAUUCCAUCUAGUUUUUAGUUCUUACAUUGUAAGAAAGAAAGGAAAAAAAAAAAGAGAGGCUAAGAAACAUCUAAAAUUUAAUGUGUGGUGGUAUUGUUAGUUCUUAUGUUGUAGAUGAUUCUAUACAAUAGGUCAUUUUACAUGAAAGAAAAGAAAAGGCAGGCCACAGCAAAUCUUUUCAAAACAAAGAACCAUUCUCAUUCAGAAUUGGUAACUUUGUUAGCCCAAGUUUUUUGGUCUGUUUUACCCCAAUCUUGUUAUUUGUAGUGAAAUUUCAUACUUGUUCUUAAAAAGCUUCAGUCCAACCAUUUAUCCUGACUAUAUUUAGAUCCAGUUUGUGAUUUCUGCUUUUCCAAACAUUUAUUCAGUAUAUAUUUGCAUGAAACCAGGUUUUCAAAUGAAAUCUUGGUCAUUGACUUGGUAAUUGAGCUGUUAGGCCAAGUGUUUUGGGUUGUUUUACCCCAAUCUUGUUAUUUUUAGUGGAAUUUCAUACUUGUUCUUAAAAAGCUUCAGUCCAACCAUUUAUCCUGACUAUAUUUAGAUCCAGUUUGUGAUUUCUGCUCUCCCAAACAUGUAUUCAGUAUAUAUUUGCAUCAAACCAGGUUUUGAAAUGAAAUCUUGGUCAUUGACUUGGUAAUUGAGCUGUUAGGCCAAGUGUUUUGGGCUGUUUUACCCCAAUCUUGUUAUUUCUAGUGGAAUUUCAUACUUGAUCUUAAAAAGCUUCAAAACAACCAUUUAUCUUGACUAUAUUUAGAUCCAGUUUGUGAUUUCUGCUUUCCCAAACAUGUAUUUAGUAUAUAUUUGCAUGAAACCAGGUUUUCAAAUGAAAUCUUGGUCAUUGACUUGGUAAUUGAGCUGUUAGGCCAAGUUUUUUGGUCUGUUUUACCCCAAUCUUGUUAUUUCUAGUGGAAUUUCAUACUUGAUCUUAAAAAGCUUCAGUCCAACCAUUUAUCCUGACCAUAUUUAAAUCGAGUUUGUGAUUUUUGCUUGCCCAAACAUGUAUUCAGUAUAUAUUUGCAUGAAACCAGGUUUUCAAAUGAAAUCUUGGUCAUUGACACGGUAAUUGAGCUGUUAGGCCAAGUUUUUUGGUCUGUUUUACCCCAAUCUUGUUAUUUCUAGUGGAAUUUCAUACUUGUUCUUAAAAAGCUUCAGUCCAACCAUAUAUCCUGACUAUAUUUAGAUCCAGUUUGUGAUUUCUGCUUUUCCAAACAUGUAUUCAGUAUAUAUUUGCAUGAAACCAGGUUUUCAAAUGAAAUCUUGGUCAUUGACAUGGUAAUUGAGCUGUUAGGCCAAGUUUUUUGGUCUGUUUUACCCCAAUCUUGUUAUUUCUAGUGGAAUUUCCCUCUUGUUCUUAAAAAGCUUCAGUCCUCUCCAUUUGUCAAUUUGCCAUUUUGUUCAAUGAACUCUAUCUUUUGCUCAAUUUUUGUGUGAAUAACCCGCUCCUCCUCUCCCCCCUUACUCAAUAUUUUGGUCUUGGGAUGGGGCUUGUUUUGACUACAGGGCAGGUUAUUAUAUAUUAUGGAUGAUGAGGCAUCUCAUGUUCCUAUUUGAACCCCUAACCAACAUCUCACAUCUCAAUACACAGGAGCAAGUCUACGGAAAAUCUAAGAGAAAGAGAGGCCUUGAUUUGUUUCAAAGUCUGAAAUUGUAUUUGAUUCUUCUCAAGUACAAUAGAAGACUCCCUCUACUCCCUUCCUCUUUCUCUGACUUUUUCUGGUCACUUUUGAAACUUGACUUCAACCUCUUGGUUUUCUGAGUUUGUCACAUAUUCCACACUACUCCUGACACAACAAACACAUUAUUGAGUAAACCAGUUUGUCCACCAAAAUGAUUAGUCGACAGAAAGAAUAAAUCAGAGAUACUUUAAACAAAGUUGGCUUUUAGAUUUAUGAAAAACGUAAACUUUAUUGCAAAUUUUAUUAUUAAAAUAUCACAAAUGUUGUUAAUAUCAUACCAUCAAUCUAAAAAUUUCAUAUAAUUUUUAAUUCUUCAACAUUAUCCACACACACACAUAUGAGUCUAAUUAUAAAGGAUAGUAGUUUUGUUAACAUUAAUUUUUUGACAGGUAAAAGUAGAAAAUAUUAUUAACAUUAUAACAUGUGACAAAUUAAUUUUGUCAUUGAUAGAGACUAUUCAACUAGCAAAAGUGCUGGGAAAUCAAUUUGAUAGGUUGCAACAUAUAGUCUCUGAAUUUCUGUUUGUCAAGAAAGAAAGAAAACCCCUGCCACAUAUCUUACUACUUCAAAAGGUAAUCUGGAAAAAAUGCCCAAUGAUGAUCAUUCCCUUAUUCUUGGGCAUAUGACAGUGAAUUUAUUUCCUUCAAUCAACUGCACUUAGGUUCCUUUUGUUAGAUCUUUUAUUACUUGCAAAUACCACUAAGUAAAAGUGUUGGGAAAGAAAGACUCAAGGUUCAAACUUGCUAGGUUGCUAAAUUAAUCUCUGAUAUGCUACUGAGAGAGAGAAAGAAAACCAACCAGAGCUCUAACGAGACUUCUUCUUCCUUGCUGUAACAUGCAGAUCCAACCACUAAGUAAAAGUCUCAGGUUUUCCAGUUUUUAUAAUUUUUGCAGAAUUAAAGUGAGAAAUUCGCAGUUUCAUGAGAAUGAGAAUUGAUUGUAUUCCACUCAAGAUGUAUGUAUUCCACUUGCUAAGACAUGGUCGUCAGUUGUUUUUUGUUGGAUCUAAUGCAUGCUUUGACUUGGUGAUAAACCAACUAGUUAAAAAAUUACUUCACCACAACAUAAAUCAGUAUAUGAAAUCAUCAAUUUUUUUGCUGGAUCUGUAUACUCCAUAGUUACUUGGGAACAUGAUGAGUAAAGAAAAGGUAUCAUCGUCGAUUUCAUCAUCCUCUAUUGUUAAUCAUACAUUGGAAAACAACCCUUUGUGCACUUGUGGAUCACCCGAUUCACUUAGAAUAUCUAAUACGCGGCGAAAUCCGGGCCGAGCAUUCUUUGGGUGUUCAAACUACAAUAUGAAGGGGUUACCACAUUGCAAAUUUUUUAAAUGUGCAGAUAGCGGUCAGGAAAGAGAACAAGAACUUCUGAAAAUUGAAACUGAUCUGUUAAGGAAGAAGGAUGAGCUUUAGAAAACACAGGAGGAGUUUCAGAAAACACGAGAAGAGCUUCAACAAUUAGAGGAAAAGGUUCAUAAAACUAUGAAAUAAGUUCGACAUUGGAUGGAAGAGGUUCGUAAAAGAGAGGGCGAAAUUGUCAAGAUGGAGUUGGAAGUUCGGCGUCAACGCACACAUCUGCGUAUAUGUUGGGCAAUUUUAAUAUUACUUUAUUUGUUGUAUGUACGAUCAUAUUGAACACCCGUAAAGCUGAAAUUUUUUGUACUUUUCUGAACACUUGCGAAUCAGAAAAGAGUAGUAGUUAUGGAAAUGCCUACAAUUUUGUAUUAAAUAUAUGUACAAUACUUUGGAACUUGUGGGACAACACGUGAAAAAGUAGGCAAUGUGUAUAUCUGAACUUUUGCUAUGCAAAGUGGAUGUAAUCUUUUGCAAAUUGUCCAGGGACUGGCCUUGCCAAUGCAUAUAGUUCAUAUAAACAGA